AUUAAACGCUGGCGGCAUGCCUUACACAUGCAAGUCGAACGGCAGCACGGGGGCAACCCUGGUGGCGAGUGGCGAACGGGUGAGUAAAGCAUCGGAACGUGCCCUGGAGUGGGGGAUAACGUAGCGAAAGUUACGCUAAUACCGCAUAUUCUGUGAGCAGGAAAGCAGGGGAUCGCAAGACCUUGCGCUCUGGGAGCGGCCGAUGUCGGAUUAGCUAGUUGGUGGGGUAAAGGCCUACCAAGGCGACGAUCCGUAGCGGGUCUGAGAGGAUGAUCCGCCACACUGGGACUGAGACACGGCCCAGACUCCUACGGGAGGCAGCAGUGGGGAAUUUUGGACAAUGGGCGAAAGCCUGAUCCAGCCAUGCCGCGUGAGUGAAGAAGGCCUUCGGGUUGGUUAAAGGUACGU
rnacentral:rRNA from 1 species